ACCAACGACUUCAUCCUGACCUCCGACAACUCCGAGCAGACCGUUCACAUCAGCUCAACAUUCGGCGGACGCCGGGCUAGCGUACAGUACGGUAUCACCUCCAUCCACGCCAGCAACCACCAGCAGAGUGUGGCCAUCAACUACGGAUAUGGCGGCUACGGAGCCAGCCAAGGUUCUUCUUAUUCAGGAAGCAGAUUCCAGCUCCCCAACAUUUACUUCGA